ensembl:lncRNA
AACUCUGAAUAUCCACUGGAAGACUGAUGCUGAAGCUCCAAUACUUCGGCCACCUGAUGCAAAGAGCCAACUCAUUGGAAAAGACCCUGAUGCUGGGAAAGAUUGAGGGCAGGAGGAGAAGGGGGCAACAGAAGAUGAGAUGGUUGGAUGGCAUCUCUGACUCAAUGGACUUGAAUUUGAGCAAACUCCAGGAGAUAGUGAAGGACAAGGAAGGACAGGGUCCCUGCGGUCCACAGGGUUACAAAGAAUUGGACACAACUUAUCCACUGAAUAACAACAAAUGUAGAGAGCUAAGUGUUAAUGAGUGAGGAGCUUGGAAGGAGAUGGGAGAUUUGUUAUUAGUUGCAUUGGGUGCUGCUAAUGAUGUUACAGAGUUUAUGGUUCAUCCAUCCAGUAAAUGGACCUGUUAUAAUCAUGAGAAAUGGGAAGAUUAGGCCUUCAAAAAGAGGCAGUCAUCCUUCAUUCAUUCCAAGGCAUACUCUGGCACCCACUAUAAGCCAAGGUUUAUUGAAGUCCAUUGGAACUCAGGAAGUCUCUUCUGUAGAAAGACCAUGAGAUGCUACCGUAUAACAAGUUCCCUUUGUGAGCUACGCCAAGACCUAUGUGCCUCUGCCAGUAAAGGCAAGGCUAUCUGCAGCAAGAGGGAAGACUUAAGUAGUGUGUCAGUGUCCUUUGUUGAAAUAUUCUUUCCUAUACUUACACAGUGUUUAAAUUGUCAACAAAAUCUCCCGCUUGAAAUUUACCCCUGAUGUUUAUAUUUCUAUCCAAAAUUGGGGAGAAGGCGGUUCAUCAAUGUUUCAAAUAAGGCUGAAGUCAGUACAAUCCAAGAUGCUGAAGGUGCUGAAGGUGCUGAAGUGGUUAUGGAGGACCUCUCUGAGGAGGUGAUAUUUAGGCUGAGAGCAAAGGUUGAGAGGAAUUCGUAAUCAUUUCUAGUAGCGCUUUAAAAAAUUGAGCAUUGGACUUUCCUGGUGGUACAGUGGAUAAGAAUCUGCCUGCCAAUGCAGGGGACACGGAUGAGUUAGAUCCUUGGUCUAGGAAGUUUCCACAUGCUGCAGAGCAACUAAUCCUGUGAGUCACAACUGCUAAACCCCCUGGCCGGAGUCUGCGAGCCACAGCUACUGAGCCCACGUGCUGCAGCUACUGAAGGCCGGGCUGCUAGAGCUCUGCAGCAAGAGAAGCCGUGGUAGUGAGAAGCCCAUGCACCGCAACGAG